AACACUGUUAACCUGCGGUACCUGCGGAAGGAUCAUUACACAAUACAAUAUGAAGGCUGUCCGCAGCUGGAGUAUUUUAUUACCCUUGUCUUUUGCGCACUUGUUGUUUCCUGGGCGGGUUCGCUCGCCACCAGGACCACCAAAUAAACCUUUUUUAUGCAGUUGCAAUCAGCGUCAGUACAAACAAUGUAAAUCAUUUACAACUUUUAACAAUGGAUCU
rnacentral:misc_RNA from 1 species